rnacentral:rRNA from 1 species
CGGGGGGAGCAAGCGUUGUUCGGAUUUACUGGGCGUAAAGGGCGCGUAGGCGGCCACCGCAAGUCAGUUGUGAAAUCUCUGGGCUUAACCCAGAAAGGUCAACUGAUACUGCGGGGCUAGAGUGCAGAAGGGGCAACUGGAAUUCUCGGUGUAGCGGUGAAAUGCGUAGAUAUCGAGAGGAACACCUGCGGCGAAGGCGGGUUGCUGGGCUGACACUGACGCUGAAGCGCGAAAGCUAGGGGAGCGAACGGGAUUAGAUACCCCGGUAGUCCUAGCCUUAAACGAUGAAUGCUUGGUGUCUGGGGUUUUAUAGUCCCCGGGUGCCGUCGCUAACGCUUUAAGCAUUCCGCCUGGGGAGUACGGUCGCAAGACUG